rnacentral:rRNA from 1 species
ACUCCUACGGGAGGCAGCAGUGGGGAAUAUUGCACAAUGGGCGCAAGCCUGAUGCAGCCAUGCCGCGUGUAUGAAGAAGGCCUUCGGGUUGUAAAGUACUUUCAGCAGUGAGGAAGGCGGAGUCGUUAAUAGCGGCCUCGUUUGACGUUAGCUGCAGAAGAAGCACCGGCUAACUCCGUGCCAGCAGCCGCGGUAAUACGGAGGGUGCGAGCGUUAAUCGGAAUUACUGGGCGUAAAGCGCAUGCAGGUGGUUCGUUAAGUCAGAUGUGAAAGCCCGGGGCUCAACCUCGGAAUUGCAUUUGAAACUGGCAGACUAGAGUACUGGUAGAGGGGGGUAGAAUUUGAGGUGUAGCGGUGAAAUGCGUAGAGAUCGUAGAAGGAAUACCGAGUGGCGAACGGCGGCCCCCUGGACAAGACUGACGCUCA